AGCAUUGUUUACUUUGGAGACUCAAAUAUGUUUUUCCAAAAAAAAAAGGUGGGAAUGAUGGAAUUUAAAAAAAAAUAUAUAAAAAAACUAUAAAAAAGUUUGUGAUCACCCACUCCGUGUUCACUGUCUAAUUUUAACAAUAGGGCUUCUAAUCUUAAAAGGAGUACCAAAGAAAAAAAGGGGGGACCAAGGGGGAUACAAAGUGAAAGACAACAUUCACUUUUGUUUGAUUACUAGCACUUAGCUUGUAGCGUAAGCUUAGUUUUAUUCACUAGUUUGAUUUACAAGAACCAAGUUCUUGUUAUCAUAAAAUUUAUUAAUAAUUUUUUUCUAAUUAUGCAAUAAUUUGACUUGGGUAAGGACAAGGUAAGAUUUAUGUAAUAGAUUUAUUUCCUAGAAAUGAAAUUAUCUUGUUUAUACCUAUUCUCCAAAUAUGCAGUGCAACAUGAACUUGGUUUUAGAUGAGCGUUGCUUAUAUCAAAGAUUCUAGAACUACAGAUAAGUUUUUCCUUUGUCUUUUAUUUUGUUUCUGAAUAUCAUUCAUAUUAAUGAAUUUAGAAAUCAAUAUUUAUUUGUAGGAGAAAAAGAAAAGGAGAACCUGUCAAAAUACUAGCACCAAGGUAUCCUAGCAAUUCCAGUUGCUGUGUUAUAUGCUGCACAUUUUCAGAACCGACACUUUGUUUUGUGGUCUUACUCUUGGAGGGAACCUCUAGGUGUGGGAAGGCGUCAGGGAACUCCUCACUGUUUAAUCUUGACAAUAGUACUUCUUAUCUAAAAGGAGCACCAGAAGAAGGGGGGGGGACUAAUAAAGAUACAAAGAACUUGACUUGGAUAACGAUAAGGUAAGAUUUAUGUAGUAGAUUUCUUUCCUAGAAACGAUGUUAUCUUGUUUAUACAUAUUCUCCAAAUAUGUAGUUUUUUUAUUAUUCCACAACCCCCUUCCAAAAAAAAAAUAUAUAUAUAUAUAUAAAUUAUGUACGUAGUCGGGAUUUCUUUGUUUGCCACUAAAAGCUGUGUAGCAUGAACUUGGUUGAAGAUGAGCCUUGCUUACAUCAAAGGUUGUAGAACUGCAGAUAAGUUUUGCCUAUGUUUUCUAUUUGAUUCCGAAUAUCAUUCAUGUUGAUGAAUUUAGAAAUCAAUCUUUAUUUGCAGGAGAAAGAGAAAAGGAGAAUCUGUUAAAAUACUAGCGCCAAGGUAUCUUAGUAAUUCCAGUUGCUAUUUUAUUUGCUGCACAUUUUCAGAACUGAUCUAUCUCCUCCCUUCUUUAUCACUUACACCUUGGUGUGGGAAGGCGUUAGGGGACUUCGCACUAAUUAAUCUUGACAGUAGUAUGUCUUAUCUAAAAAGGACUACGAAAGAGAAGGGGGGAGUAAUGAGGAUAUAAAGUGAAGGACAAUAUUCACUUUUGUUUGAUUACUACCACUCAGUCUGUAAUGCAUGUUUAGUUAAAUUCACUAUAUUGUUUUACAAGAACUAAUUUUUUGUUUUCAGAAAAUUUAUUAAUAGUUUUUCACCAAUUGUGCAGGAUCUUAACUUGGGUAUCGACGAGGUAGGAUUUACGUAAAAGAUUUCUCUACUAGAAACGAAGUUAUCUUAUUUAUUCUAGUUCUCUAAAUAUGUAGUUUUGUAAUUAUUCCACCCCCUAUUAUAUAUAUAUAUAGUUUGGUUUUGUUUGUUUGCAGCUAAAAGCACUCCUACAUGAACGUGGAUGUAGAUGAGCCUUGCUUACAACAAAGAUUGUAUAAUUGCAGAUAAGUUAUGCAUAUGUCAUCUAUUUGUUUCCUAGUA